rnacentral:lncRNA from 1 species
UUACAUGUCCCCACACCCCAUACAAGUGUAAUAACUUAGAUUUAUUUCUUUUAUUAGUUCAUCAUGCAUGCUAACUAAAAAGAUAAAAAUAAACGAUAAAAUAAAGCAUUUCAAAAGACAAAAGACAUACUUGGUCCAACGUCAAGUAUUUUCCAAAUCAAACUCACAUCAUAGCAACGCGAGCACUUGAUCCAAUGUCAAGUAUCUCCCAUCCAUUCCAUAUCCAUCUCUUCUCCAUUCUAAUUUU